CCUUUUCAUAAGACUGGAUGAAAUAGCGAUAACCAAACUCCAGACAUCAUUCCCAAACUCGCCAUAUCAAAGACUCAAAUGAAUCCAACAUAGGCCCAAAACCAAAAUCACAGUGUACAUACAGUUGGUUCAGACAUCUAACACCUUUCGUAAGAUUCUUAACACAAACAAAAUUCAAAUCCUAAAAUUCAUGUGUUAAAUGACAACUUUUAUACUCUAACACAGAUUUACAUCUACUGACUAAUAGAAGGAGAGAUAUAAAAAUUAAUAGAACUUAGGAACCAAUUUUUGAAAAAUCGAUAACUAAUCACAUCAGCUUUAACACAUGCAUUGUCACAUUCACUUCAAAUUCCAGAGAUUUAAAGGAGUACCUGGAUACAACAAAACAAAAACCAAAAAUGUAUUUGAAAAUCAGCUUAUAGCAACAAAGCAAUAACAAGUCUAGCAGCAAAGACAACAGUAAUCAUCAACUCAAUAGCCUCAAUAUCAAGCCAUAUUUCAGCUUAGAAAAACCAGAAAAAUCCAAAGAAAGACCACUUCUAAACUUUUUAGCCAAAGAAAGAAAUCAAGCUCAAAACUAGAGUAGUUUUUUUUUUGGAAAAAUUUUCAGCCCUUUUCUCUUUUUGUAAUCCUCCCAAUCUUUUACCUAUAAAUCAAUAAAAUGAGCUUCUUAUAGGAGGGCUUUAGGGCAGUAGAACUUAAUUUUAUUUAAUCCCUUUUAACCUUCAAAUUUAUUCUUUUUACUACCUUGGACCCCAAAACAGCUGAGCUGUAUUUUUUCUUUUGCAUUAAGCCCCCUCCUUAUCCUCUAGAAUCUUUUGUUGUUAUAACAGAAACAUUUUUUCAAAGAGAAACCCCCAAACUAACCCCUGACAGCCCUGCAUAUACUUCCUAAACUAGUACCAAAUUGGGUCAUGUGACCCAAAACUCAAAACCAAACCAGUGGGCUUUAUACUACACAAGCCAGAAAUAAGAAAAAAUCCAAAAUACCUAACAUUAAACCAAUAUUAAGCCCUCAAGACUAGCUGGUUCAUUAAACAAACCAAAAGUCAAAUUGAACAAUGAAAUCUGUAAUCGACCAUGAACUAAAACAUGCUAAAAAUGAUUUAACACAACUGACUAAUUAAAAAGUGACUAAAACUCGCUUGAUAAGCGUUCUAAACUAUCAUGCAAACAAAAACUAAUUCAGAAGAAGAGAAAUAAAGAAAUAAAAAUAGAAGAGAAAACAAAAACAAAAUAAAAACAGAAACAAUGAGUAGAGGUCAAGGAUUUACCGAUUGAAUCUAGCAAAACGACCAAGAGAACAAGGAGGAGGACUGGCCAGGCUUCAAGAUUCAUCCAAAGGGCUUGAAGUUGACCCAAAUGAUUACUCCAGUCAAGAGUAACUUAUUUGGGCAAACAUCCAGCCAAAACGAGCAAAACUUCAAGAAAAUCACAAAACUCAGAAAUUAGGUCAAACCUUUAGAUCCGGGAUUUGACGAGUUCCAAGGAUUAUUUGGGGAAAUUGUUAGGGGAUUUGAGUUUGGAGAGGCCUGGUGAUUAUAGGGUGUGAGCUUGGGGUCGAUUGGGGUUGUGCCGCCGGCAGGUGGGGUUUGGGAAUUUGGGGCGGCUAGGUCAGCUAGGGUUUGGGUGAGGGAGACGAAAUGGGAGUUCAAAAUUUUGUGUGUGUGUG
rnacentral:lncRNA from 1 species